rnacentral:rRNA from 1 species
UACGUAGGGGGCUAGCGUUGUCCGGAUUUAUUGGGCGUAAAGAGCGUGUAGGCGGCCAGGUAGGUCUGCUGUGAAAACUCGAGGCUCAACCUCGAGAUGUCGGCGGAAACCAUCUGGCUAGAGUCCGGAAGAGGAGAGUGGAAUUCCUGGUGUAGCGGCGAAAUGCGCAGAUAUCAGGAAGAACACCGAUGGCGAAGGCAGCUCUCUGGGACGGUACUGACGCUGAGACGCGAAAGCGUGGGGAGCGAACAGG